rnacentral:rRNA from 1 species
UACAGAGGGUGCAAGCGUUGUUCGGAAUUAUUGGGCGUAAAGCGCGUGUAGGCGGUGGUUCAAGUCGGGCGUGAAAGCCCUCAGCUCAACUGAGGAAGUGCGCCCGAAACUGAAUCGCUAGAGUGUCGGAGGGGAAGGCGGAAUUCCCGGUGUAGAGGUGAAAUUCGUAGAUAUCGGGAGGAACACCAGUGGCGAAGGCGGCCUUCUGGACGAACACUGACGCUGAGACGCGAAAGCGUGGGUAGCAAACAGG